GACGAGCCGAGCAAACGUUAUUCGGAAUCACUGGGCUUAAAGGGCGCGUAGGCGGGCUCGCUAGUCUGCGGUGAAAUCCUCCAGCUUAACUGGAGAACGGCCGUGGAUACUGCGAGUCUCGAGGGAGGUAGGGGCGUGCGGAACAGAUGGUGGAGCGGUGAAAUGCGUUGAUAUCAUCUGGAACUCCGGUGGCGAAGGCGGCACGCUGGACCUCUUCUGACGCUGAGGCGCGAAAGCCAGGGGAGCAAACGGG
rnacentral:rRNA from 1 species